rnacentral:sRNA from 1 species
UGCAGGCCGGUCCUCCAGCCUUUGGCACA